CGUGGUAAUGAUAAUAUAAGGUUAAUCAUUUUAAAUACAGUCGCUUUAUAGUCUAAUUCAAGACGGUGGUCGGUGGAAAAUUUAAUUUUUAACAUAAUUAUUCGAAUAAAACAAACAAAAAAUAUAAGAUAUAAAUUAUUAUUUAAAAAAACGUAUGACAAAUAUGAUUCGCGAGAGAGAACGAGAGUGAAGCGUGCACGAACAUGAC